UCCGUAGGCGGCCAUGCAAGUCUUGGGUGAAAUCCCCCGGCUCAACUGGGGAACUGCCUGGGAAACUGUGUGGCUUGAGUUCGGUAGAGGGAGAUGGAAUUCCGGGUGUAGCGGUGAAAUGCGUAGAUAUCCGGAGGAACACCAGUGGCGAAGGCGAUCUCCUGGGCCGAUACUGACGCUGAGGGACGAAAGCUAGGGGAGCAAACG
rnacentral:rRNA from 1 species